AUUGAACGCUAGCGGGAUGCUUUACACAUGCAAGUCGAACGAGUGGCGGACGGGUGAGUAAUAUAUGGGAACGUGCCUAGUAGAGGGGGAUAACUACUGGAAAGAGUGGCUAAUACCGCAUACUAUCGGAUGUGCCCAUAUGGGAUUAGCUAGUUGGUGGGGUAAAGGCUCACCUAGGCAACGAUCCGUAGCUGGUUUGAGAGGACGACCAGCCACACUGGAACUGAGACACGGCCCAGACUCCUACGGGAGGCAGCAGUGGGGAAUAUUGGACAAUGGGCGCAAGCCUGAUCCAGCCAUCCCGCGUGUAUGAGAAGGCCUUCGGGUUGUAAAGUACUUUUGGCAGAGAAGCGGUAUCUGCAGAAGAAGCACCGGCUAACUACGUGCCAGCAGCCGCGGUAAUUC
rnacentral:rRNA from 1 species